UACAGAGGGUGCGAGGGUUAAUCGGAAUUACUGGGCGUAAAGCGUGCGUAGACGGUAGCGUAAGUCGGGUGUGAAAGCCCCGGGCUCAACCUGGGAAUUGCAUUCGAGACUGCUCUGCUAGGGUGCGGAAGAGGGAAGCGGAAUUUCCGGUGUAGCGGUGAAAUGCGUAGAUAUCGGAAGGAACACCAGUGGCGAAAGCGGCUUCCUGGUCCAGCACCGACGUUCAGGCACGAAAGCGUGGGGAGCAAACAGG
rnacentral:rRNA from 1 species